UACAGAGACUGCAAGCGUUAUUCGGAUUCACUGGGCGUAAAGGGUGCGCAGGCGGCCGUGUGUGUGAGGCGUGAAAGCCCGGGGCUUAACCCCGGAAUUGCACCUCAAACUACAUGGCUAGAGCAUUGGAGAGGGUAGCGGAAUUCACGGUGUAGCAGUGAAAUGCGUAGAUAUCGUGAGGAACACCAGAGGCGAAGGCGGGUCUCUGGACAGUUCCGUGGACCGGCUGAGGCACGGAAGGCCAGGGGAGCAAACGGG
rnacentral:rRNA from 1 species